GAUGAACGCUAGCGGCAGGCCUAAUACAUGCAAGUCGAACGGUAAGGCCCUUUCGGGGGUACACGAGUGGCGGACGGGUGCGUAACGCGUAUGCAACAUGCCUUCCAGCGGGGGAUAUACCAGGGAAACUUGGCGCAAUACCCCAUAGAAUUACGGGACCGCAUGGUCUUGUGAUUAAAACUCCGGUGCUGGGAGAUUGGCAUGCGUGACAUUAGCUAGUUGGCGGGGUAACGGCCCACCAAGGCGACGAUGUCUAGCUGGUCUGAGAGGAUGAUCAGCCACACUGGGACUGAGACACGGCCCAGACUCCUACGGGAGGCAGCAGUGGGGAAUAUUGGACAAUGGGGGAAACCCUGAUCCAGCUACGCCGCGUGGGUGAUGAAGGCCUUCGGUUGUAAGCCCUGUCGAGGGGACGAAGUCUGACGGUACCCUCAAGAAAGCACCGGCUAACUCCGUGCCAGCAGCCGCGGU
rnacentral:rRNA from 1 species